AUUGAACGCUGGCGGCAGGCCUAACACAUGCAAGUCGAACGAGUGGCGGACGGGUGAGUAAUGUCUGGGAAACUGCCCGAUGGAGGGGGAUAACUACUGGAAACGGUAGCUAAUACCGCAUACCAGCGGAGGUGACCAGAUGGGAUUAGCUAGUAGGUGGGGUAAUGGCUCACCUAGGCGACGAUACCUAGCUGGUCUGAGAGGAUGACCGGCCACACUGUGACUGAGCCACGGUCCAGGCUCCUACGAGAGGCAGCAGUGGGGAAUAGUGCACAAUGGGCGCAAGCCUGAUGCAGCCAUGCCGCGUGUAUGAAGAAGGCCUUCGGGUUGUAAAGUACUUUCAGCGAGGAGGCGUUACUCGCAGAAGAAGCACCGGCUAACUCCGUGCCAGCAGCCGCGGUAAUUC
rnacentral:rRNA from 1 species